GAGACGCACCUGUAGAGAUCGCAUCAAUGGUGAUCCCUUGUCUUCUGGCUGCCAGCUGGAUUAGGCUAAUGUAGUCUCCCUGUAGGAGGCUGGAGAGCUGGAGAAGAGUGAAGCUGGAGGAGUGGUUCUUCUGAUUUCCUUCUUGCAAGGUCACCUUCAGCUGGAGAUUUGGCCAAGUUGGGGAGAUCUCGAGAAGAUGCUACAGAUGUCUACAGCACCCGAGUAGAAGGCUUGAGGAGCCGGCCGAAUUUCAAAAGAAGACUAGCCCUGAGCUAACUACUGCCAGUCCUCCUCUAUUUGCUGAGGAAGCCUGGCCCUGAACUAACAUCUGUGCCCAUCUUCCUCUACGUUUAUAUGUGGAACUCCUACCACAGCAUGGCAUGCCAAGCGGUACCAGGUCCUCACCGGGAUCCAGACCGGCGAACCCCAGGCCAUUGAAGAGCUGAACGGGCGAACUUAACCGCUGCACCACCGGGUUUCCUCCACUCUAUUCUUGGUUUACCACCUGCCAUGGGGACCACAGUGAUAUCAAUGACUGCAUAGGAACAGAAGACAAACAUGCUGAGGAAGCACCAGAAUCUACUUCAAAAGUUAAUAAUUCUAUUAAGAAGAAUGUGCCUGAAGACUGUGAUUUAAUAUGCAGCUGCAGAUGGUCAAUGAAGAAAUCUCCCCAAAGUUU
rnacentral:lncRNA from 1 species